CCUACGGGAGGCAGCAGUGGGGAAUAUUGGGCAAUGGGCGCAAGCCUGACGCAGCGAUGCCGCGUGAAGGAAGAAGGCUUUCGGGUUGUAAACUUCUUUGACAGGGGAAGAGCAGAAGACGGUACCCUGGAAACAAGCCACGGCGAACUACGUGCCAGCAGCCGCGGUAAUACGUAGGUGGCAAGCGUUGUCCGGCUUUACUGGGUGUAAAGGGCGUGUAGCCGGGAAGGGAAGUCAGAUGUGAAAUCUGGAGGCCCAACCUCCAAAUUGCAUUGGAAACUGUUUUUCUUGAGUACUGGAGAGGCAGACGGAAUUGCUUGUGAAGCGGUGAAAUGCGUAGAUAUAAGGAGGAACACCAGUGGCGAAGGCGGUCUGCUGGACAUCAACUGACGGUGAGGCGCGAAAGCGUGGGGAGCAAACAGGAUUAGAUACCCUUGUAGUC
rnacentral:rRNA from 1 species